GUUUUCUGAAGUUGAUACUGGCACAGGUUGCCUCAGGGCUUCCUGUGCUACUGCAAAAACCUCUUGCUUCCGCUGGGCGCGGUGGCUCACACCUGUAAAACCAGCAUUUUGGGAGGCCGAGGCAGGUGGAUCACCUGAGGUCAGGAGUUUGAGACCAGCCUGACCAACAUGGAGAAACUCCUGUCUCUCCUAAAAAUACAAAAAGCUGGGCAUGGUGGCGGGCACCUGUAAUCCCAACUACUCAGGAGUCUGAGGCAGGAGAAUUGCUUGAACCUGGGAGGCGGAGAUUGCGGUGAGCCAAGAUUGUGCCAUUACACUCCAGCCUGGGCACCAAGAGCAAAACUCUGUCUCAAAAACAAACAAACAAACAACAAAAAACCUCUUGCUUCUUGAGCAUUUACUGUGGAUCACCAGACCGACCUUUCCAAAGUGCUACUUUAAUCCUGCAUGUCAUUUUCAGUGGUUUUCCACUACCUAUAGUUUAGUCAGAGAUAAAUUACUAGUUCCACUUUAUUAUGCACUGGGAGAGUGAACAGGAGAUUGUUAUACAGGUUGAGCAUCCUUAAUCCAAAAAUCUAAAAUCCAAAUCCAAAAUUUCAGCACCUACAUGAUAACGCAAGUGGAAAAUUCCAUACUGGACCUCAUGUGACCAGUCCCAGUGAAAAUGCAGUCAGUUUGGUCCGAACGUAGUGAGUUACCUUAAUAGAUUGGUCACAGUCAGUUACAGAUGGAACACCUUGUUCUAUUUUUUUCUCCCCUUCUCACUACUGCACUUGACUAGUCUUAAAAAAACAAAAACAAAAACAAAAAAAGGCUGGGUGCAGUGGCUCAUGCCUAUGAGCCAUGAUUGCACCAUUGCAUUGCAGCCUAGGUGAC
rnacentral:lncRNA from 10 species